rnacentral:rRNA from 1 species
GAUGAACGCUAGCGGCAGGCUUAAUACAUGCAAGUCGUGGGGCAGCAGCUUUGUAGCAAUACAGAGGCUGGCGACCGGCAAACGGGUGCGGAACACGUACACAACCUUCCUUCAAGUGGGGAAUAGCCCAGAGAAAUUUGGAUUAAUACCCCGGAAUCUUAUGAAAUGGCAUCAUUUUAUAAUUAUAGCCUCGGCGCUUGGAGAUGGGUGUGCGUCUGAGUAGGUAGGUGGCGGGGUAACGGCCCACCAAGCCUACGAUCAGUAGCUGAUGUGAGAGCAUGAUCAGCCACACGGGCACUGAGACACGGGCCCGACUCCUACGGGAGGCAGCAGUAAGGAAUAUUGGUCAAUGGACGAAAGUCUGAACCAGCCAUGCCGCGUGGAGGAUGAAGGUCCUCUGGAUUGUAAACUUCUUUUAUAAGGGACGAAAAAAGGGUUUUCUAACUCACUUGACGGUACCUUAUGAAUAAGCACCGGCUAACUCCGUGCCAGCCGCCGCAGUAAUAC